CCUGCCAGUAGUCAUAUGCUUGUCUCAAAGAUUAAGCCAUGCAUGUCUCAGUACAAGCCAAAUUAAGGUGAAACCGCGAAAGGCUCAUUAAAUCAGUUAUGGUUCCUUAGAUCGUACCCACAUUUACUUGGAUAACUGUGGUAAUUCUAGAGCUAAUACAUGCAAACAGAGCUCCGACCGGAGACGGAAGGAGUGCUUUUAUUAGAUCAAAACCAAUCGGCGGCGUGUUCGCUUGCGUUCACGUUCGCCGCCCAACUUGGUGACUCUGAAUAACUUUCUGCUGAUCGCACGGUCUUGCACCGGCGACGCAUCUUUCAAAUGUCUGCCUUAUCAACUGUCGAUGGUAGGUUCUGCGCCUACCAUGGUUGUAACGGGUAACGGGGAAUCAGGGUUCGAUUCCGGAGAGGGAGCCUGAGAAACGGCUACCACAUCCAAGGAAGGCAGCAGGCGCGCAAAUUACCCACUCCCGGCACGGGGAGGUAGUGACGAAAAAUAACGAUACGGGACUCAUCCGAGGCCCCGUAAUCGGAAUGAGUACACUUUAAAUCCUUUAACGAGGAUCAAUUGGAGGGCAAGUCUGGUGCCAGCAGCC
rnacentral:rRNA from 1 species